rnacentral:rRNA from 1 species
CAAUAGCGUAUAUUUAAGUUGCUGCAGUUAAAAAGCUCGUAGUUGGAUUUCGGGUGGGAAUGGCCGGUCCGCCGUUUCGGUGUGCACUUGCUACGCCCACCUUGCUGCCAGGGACGUGCUCUUGAGUUCACGCUCGGGACACGGAGUCGGCGAGGUUACUUUGAGUAAAUUAGAGUGUUCAAAGCAGGCCUACGCUCUGAAUACAUUAGCAUGGAAUAACACGAUAGGACUCUGGCCUAUCUUGUUGGUCUGUAGGACCGGAGUAAUGAUUAAGAGGGACAGUCGGGGGCAUUCGUAUUUCAUUGUCAGAGGUGAAAUUCUUGGAUUUAUGAAAGACGAACUACUGCGAAAGCAUUUGCCAAGGAUGUUUUCAUUAA